GAUGAACGCUGGCGGCGUGCCUAAUACAUGCAAGUCGAGCGAACAGACGAUGAUCUUGCUCCUCUGACGUUAGCGGCGGACGGGUGAGAAACACGUGGAUAACCUACUUAUCAGACUGGGAUAACUUCGGAAAACCGGAGCUAAUACCGGAUAAUCUAUUGAACCGCAGGGUUCAAUAGUAAAAGACGGUUUUGCUGUCACUUAUAGCUGGAUCCGCGCUGCAUUAGCUAGUUGGUAAGGUAACGGCUUACCAAGGCAACGAUGCGUAGCCGACCUGAUAGGGGGAUAGCCCAACUUGGAACUGGGUCGCCGACAAGAGUCCUAUGGGACGCAGCAGUAGGGAAUUUGAGGCAAUGGGCGAAAGCAUGACGCAGCGGCGGCAAGCGAGUGAUGGAGAUCUUCGGAUCGUAAAAAUGUGUUAUUAGGGAAGAACAACUGUCUAAGUAACUAUGGACGUCUUGACGGUAACUAGUAAAAAAGCCACGGCUAACUACGUG
rnacentral:rRNA from 1 species